CCUACGGGUGACAGCAGUCGAGAAUCAUUCACAAUGGGGGAAACCCUGAUGGUGCGACGCCGCGUGGGGGAAUGAAGGUCUUCGGAUUGUAAACCCCUGUCAUGUGGGAGCAAAUUAAAAAGAUAGUACCACAAGAGGAAGAGACGGCUAACUCUGUGCCAGCAGCCGCGGUAAUACAGAGGUCGCAAGCGUUGUUCGGAAUCACUGGGCGUAAAGCGUGCGUAGGCUGUUUCGUAAGUCGUGUGUGAAAGGCGCGGGCUCAACCCGCGGACGGCACAUGAUACUGCGAGACUGGAGUGAUGGAGGGGGAAGCGGAAUUCUCGGUGUAGCAGUGAAAUGCGUAGAUAUCGGGAGGAACACUCGUGGCGAAGGCGAGUUCCUGGACAUUAACUGACGCUGAGGCACGAAGGCGAGGGGAGCGAAAGGGAUUAGAUACCCGUGUAGUC
rnacentral:rRNA from 1 species